rnacentral:rRNA from 1 species
UACAGAGGGUGCAAGCGUUGCUCGGAAUCAUUGGGCGUAAAGGGUAGGUAGGUGGUCUCAUUUGUCGGGGGUGAAAGCCUUGGGCUUAACCCAAGAAGUGCCCCCGAAACGGUGAGACUCGAGUAUUGGAGAGGCAAGUGGGAUUCCCGGUGUAGCGGUGAAAUGCGUAGAGAUCGGGAGGAACACCAGAGGCGAAGGCGGCUUGCUGGACAAUUACUGACACUCAACUACGAAAGCGUGGGGAGCAAACAGG